GGCGGGUCUUUGAAUUAACCUAUAUAAAGUAAAUAGAUGCAAAACAAUUCAUUAACAUUCCUUGAGUAAACAUGAUUUCAUCAAAUAAGGAUAAUGUGUUCUUGGAGACUGCUGAAUUGGCAUGUUUCUAAUGCUUUGAAUGAACAUGAUUAAGUUGUGUCUGGGGUGGCCUCCAGUCCUGAGGUGGCGCUAGUGCACCACUUUCUAAGACAAGAAGAAGCCGGAAAGUUUCAAGCCAGAGAGCCGUUCGCCUCAGUCAGCUCGGUCCUACUCUUCAGUCUCAUCUCGCUGGAAUAGUGUUGUCAUGUGUGAAGAUAUACACGAAAUUGAGACUUCUGCUGCACUGUUCGAAGUCUGUAAGAUCAGUGCUGAAUUCAAAAGAAUAACCACAGUUCCCCUGCAAUCCAAGCAACUGUUGCUGAAUUGGCUGAUUUGUACAAGAUGCACCAUUUCUGAGGACUUCUGGCACAGUGGCCUGCACUGUUCAAAGUUCGCAAGGUAAGACAUUCAAUUCGGAUUGUCUUUAAUGUUUUUAUUUGUGAAUUACAGCAUUUUAUCUCCUUUCUUGAAUGUGUGUGUGGCUUUCUCCUAAUGUUAAUGAUUUGAUUGUUAAAUCCUUUGGGCUCUUUAUGUCUUUUCAGAUCAGUGCUGAAUUGAAAAGAAUCGCCACAGUCCCACUGCAAUGCCCUGCACUGUUCCAAGUCCACAAGGUCAUGGAUGAAGUUGCCGUAGACGAAGCAAUUGAAGACAUCACUAUUGGAAUCUGCUCUGACAGAAGAUUGGGCAUCCCACCCUUAGGACAUUGUCAGUUUUAGUGUAUGUCUGUCACACACGUGACACCCAAUCGGAAAGGACUCUUUUUUUUCAGCAACUAAAAAACAGCAGUUAUUUUUGUUUCUUUAAGUGAAAUGUACCUUUUUUUCUAGAGAUCUAUUUGCUUGUAUGCACUUCCAGCUCCUUGCUGGUUUAAGAAUAGUACUUGAGUGUGCAUAUGUUUUGUACAUACUGUGUUGAUUUUGACCCAAACUAAAGACAAACAAAAUACCAAGACUAGACUUAAAUAAGACUGGGUAAUAACACAAAUGUGGUCACCAAAGAGGACAACCAAAUGAAUGGUGGACUGCCAGAUGCACGCGCACAUGCAUACAUUAUACGUGCACAUGCAUACAGUAUACGCGCAUGAACGCACACCUACAAGUGUGGACUAAUGCACUUAGUCAAUGAGCUAAAAGAACUGUAUGUAGAGUGAAUUUUAUUUGUGUCCGAUGUGUUCACAUGAAUGCUAAUCCAGCCAGAGAGCACUUUUUCACAGCAACCAAACAAAUUAUUUUCUUAAAGGUGCACUGUGUAGGAUGGUGACCAGAGUAGGCAACUAUGCUGCACAUUGAAACGGUGCUGCCUAUUACCA